AGCUGCUAGGGCAUUUUGCAGAGCAGUGGCGUGCGGAGCGGCGGCGGACCACCUCCAGGGGCUAAGUGAUGGAUCUUGUACUCAGUGUUGCAGAUUACUAUUUUUUUACACCAUACAUGUAUCCAGCCACAUGGCCAGAAGAUGACAUCUUCCGACAAGCUAUUAGUCUUCUGAUUGUAACAAAUGUUGGUGCUUACAUCCUUUAUUUCUUCUGUGCAACACUGAGCUAUUAUUUUGUCUUCGAUCAUGCAUUAAUGAAACAUCCACAAUUUUUAAAGAAUCAAGUCCGUCGAGAGAUUAAGUUUACUGUCCAGGCAUUGCCAUGGAUAAGUAUUCUUACUGUUGCACUGUUCUUGCUGGAGAUAAGAGGUUACAGCAAAUUACAUGAUGACCUAGGAGAGUUUCCAUAUGGAUUGUUUGAACUUGUCGUUAGUGUAAUAUCUUUCCUCUUUUUCACUGACAUGUUCAUCUACUGGAUUCACAGAGGCCUUCAUCAUAGACUGGUAUAUAAGGUAAAGUCAUUUGUGGUGAAAAGAGAGAAAAGGUUACACAUUUCAGCAAUGUAUGAUUAUAAAUUCUGUUCUCUAUUUCCAAGAAUUUCCUCUACCCAUAUUAAAUGUCUAAGUAGCCAUAAUCAUAACAGGUACAGGGUGCAUUUUGUUCAUAUUCUUCUUUAUGGGUCUAAGGGGCUGUCUUAAAAUCUUCUGUUCCGGUAACAGGUACACAUGGACUUACAGAGGGAACAAUAGACAUUAGAGACCCCAGA
rnacentral:sRNA from 1 species